GACGAACGCUGGCGGCGUGCUUAACACAUGCAAGUCGAGCGGAAAGGCUCCAGCUUGCUGGAGUACUCGAGUGGCGAACGGGUGAGUAACACGUGGGUAAUCUGCCCUGCACUCUGGGAUAAGCCUGGGAAACUGGGUCUAAUACUGGAUAUGACCUUUCUCCUUAUGGGGUUUGGUGGAAAGUUUUUCGGUGUAGGAUGAGCCCGCGGCCUAUCAGCUUGUUGGUGGGGUGAUGGCCUACCAAGGCGACGACGGGUAGCCGGCCUGAGAGGGUGAUCGGCCACAUUGGGACUGAGAUACGGCCCAGACUCCUACGGGAGGCAGCAGUGGGGAAUAUUGCACAAUGGGCGGAAGCCUGAUGCAGCGACGCCGCGUGAGGGAUGACGGCCUUCGGGUUGUAAACCUCUUUCAGCAGGGACGAAGCGUAAGUGACGGUACCUGCAGAAGAAGCACCGGCUAACUAUGUG
rnacentral:rRNA from 1 species